UAUAGGGGAUAUUAUAGGGGAUAUAUGGGGUAUAGGGGGUAUUAUAGGGGGUAUUAUAGGGGAUAUAGGGGGUAUAUGGGGAUAUAGGGGGAUAUUAUAGGGGGUAUAGGGGAUAUAGGGGGUAUAGGGGAUAUAGGGGAUAUAGGGGGUAUAGGGGAUAUAGGGGAUAUAGGGGGUAUAUGGGGAUAUAGGGGGAUAUAGGGGAUAUAUGGGGAUAUAAUGGGAUAUAGGGGAUAUAUGGGGUAUAUGGGGA
rnacentral:lncRNA from 1 species